rnacentral:rRNA from 1 species
CCAAUAGCGUAUAUUAAAGUUGUUGUGGUUAAAAAGCUCGUAGUUGAACCUUGGGCCUGGCUGGCCGGUCCGCCUCACCGCGUGCACCGGUCCGGCCGGGCCUUUCCCUCUGCGGAACCCCAUGCCCUUCACUGGGUGUGGCGGGGAAACAGGACUUUUACUUUGAAAAAAUUAGAGUGCUCAAGGCAGGCCUAUGCUCGAAUACAUUAGCAUGGAAUAAUAGAAUAGGACGUGUGGUUCUAUUUUGUUGGUUUCUAGGACCGCCGUAAUGAUUAAUAGGGACAGUCGGGGGCAUCAGUAUUCAAUUGUCAGAGGUGAAAUUCUUGGAUUUAUUGAAGACUAACUACUGCGAAAGCAUUUGCCAAGGAUGUUUUCAUUAAUCAGGAACGAAAGUUAGGGGAUCGAAGACGAUCAGAUACCGUCGUAGUCUUAACCAUAAACUAUGCCGACUAGGGAUCGGACGAUGUUACAUUUUUGACGCGUUCGGCACCUUACG